UGGUGGUGGUGGUGGUGGUGGGAAAAGUACUAGUGGUGGCCUGUCACAGGGUGAUGUUUGCUUUUUCCCAUCUUUUUCUUCUUACNNNNNNNNNNNNNNNNNNNNAAGUACUAGUGGUGGCCUGUCACAGGGUGAUGUUUGCUUUUUCCCAUCUUUUUCUUCUUACGGCUCUUUAUACAUGGCCGAAGCGCAAGUUCUAAAUCUCUGUAAGCGAUUGGCUCGCCGCGAUCAUGAGAUCGAUCCAUGUGGGCGUGUUCUGACGCCAUGAACUCGUCAACGAUGCAUGCCUUCUUCCAUCACCCUCAAGUGGAGGGACGGGUUCUGGAUGGGCGGAGAUCCUCCAAAUCCAAGUUGCAGACGUCGCACUUGUCCAUUGGCCAACCUCGCUUUCCUUCUCCUAACCUACUUACCUGAUGAUUGAUGUGCCUCGUGGGCACUCACUCUCACCCAAUCAUCUUCUCCACUGAGAACCACACUGGUGAGCAUGUGUGACCUUUUGCGUCGGAUUAGGUAUGGUCUCUACGCGGUGUAUCAUUGAUCUUUUGUAUCUUGGUCUUCUUCGAUAGAAGAUGUCUUUGGUCCGUGAUUGCAUCCAUGUCAUGGCUCGUAAUGCAUUAAGAUAGCUCCAAGCUAAAAGUACUGCUAGAAUCUAGAGUUUGGGAACUGCACCAAUGGCUAUUGUCUCUUUUGAGGCUGUCGCCAAAAGGCUGGACUUGUUACAAGAUAUUAGGUUAUUUUAAGGAGAUGAUACUUGGUUAUUUAUUAGCAUUAAAA
rnacentral:lncRNA from 1 species